AUACGGAGGGUGCAAGCGUUGUUCGGAAUCACUGGGCGUAAAGGGCGCGCAGGCGGUUUGAUUAGUCAGAUGUGAAAGCCCACGGCUUAACCGUGGAAGUGCAUUUGAAACUGUCAGACUUGAGUAUCAGAGGGGAAAGUGGAAUUCCCGGUGUAGAUGUGAAAUUCGUAGAUAUCGGGAGGAAUACCGGUGGCGAAGGCGACUUUCUGGCUGAAUACUGACGCUGAGGCGCGAAAGCGUGGGGAGCAAACAGGAUUAGAAACCCCAGUAGUCC
rnacentral:rRNA from 1 species